UGACACUUAAUGCUCUUUGCGAUGAAUUUCCACCUUUUCCUAGUGCAUUAAAUGGUGUUAUCAGAACACUUGAUCUAAUCUGAAUUUAAACUCUCAUUUUCCCAUGCAAUUAUGACACUUAAUGCUCUUUUUGAUGACUUUCCACCUUUCCCAAGGACAUUAAAUGGUGUUAUUGUUUCCCAAGCAUUCGGCAGGCUUCAAUGUCUAUUUUGCGAUGCUCAAGGUGGCUUUCAUUAGUCACAACAACUCACAACCCUCUCUCUGCUAAUUGAUUCCAUUUUUUUUUUUUACGAUGAUAUCAAAAUUCUCAAACACUCCUCUUCUCUUCUUCAUCGAUGCUCUUCUCUCAAAAUCAUUCUUCAUCUAAUAUCUCUAUAUGUUCAUCUCAAUGUUUCCACUUUCGGCCUCAUCCACAAACCACUGCGAGAACCAUGCGAUUGAGAGUCAACACAUUCGGAAGAGAAGAGAAUUUUACAUCAUAUCUAGAUCUCGAACUCAAAAUCAUAUGUAUCUCCAUCUGUUGGUUUCAAUCCAAGAAAACAAAUUGAAUUUGUUGACCUAAUUCCAUUUCCCUAGCUAGGUAAACAAUGGUGUUGUUGUGAAUGAAAAGUGGAAAAAGAAUGGCGAUAUUCUGUUUACAACUGGUUUUUGUUAAAGAAUUUCGAAAUUAUGAAUAAAACUACAUAUUUCGACAAAAACAUUAAUCUCUGUAUCAGUUGAAUUAUAUGAUUCCAUUGAGGAUCGUUAGAGUUGUGAUUGAACUUGAUGCUCGUCAUGGCCACAUUCCUAAUCAUAGUAAAUUUUUCUAUUAUACCGUUUGUCUAACUUAAACCACAAUUUUCAUAUUUUGCAGGUGAGGCUGAUAUUUCCAAUCUGUAAAUGUAUAUUAAACCUGAAUUGAAUUGAAUUUAAUUUGUUUUAUGAGUUAAUAUCUCCAUAUGUUUCAAUCACUAUUUUAAAGUGUGUCUCUAAUCAUAUGUUUUUCUUCUUUAAGAGUUUGGAUUGAAAAAUGGUGUCUUUUUAGAUUUCUUUAAGAGUUUAGAUAGAAAAAUAGUGUCUUUUUAGAGUUUAGAAAUGAAUGCAGCAGAUCUAAGUUUCAAACACAUGGACAUGUGUUCUAAUAAUAACUUUUAUAAUUGAUUUUUCUGCGUUGAGAUGAGGCUGUUAAUGUCACGCUUGAUUUUGAAAAUGUGAACACGUCCGAUUUUGAAAAUGUUAACAUAGGUGAUGAGGUUGUAAAAGACAAUGAUGAACCUAACCUGGGCAUGGAUUGCUCUGAAGCUGCAGUUGUUAGAGUUAAAACCCUACAUAUCAGUUCUCCGAUCUUUAUAUUCAUCAUUAACUCCUCUCACAUCAGAUUUAUUUCAUAUUGUUAAUAACUUUUGCUUUGUUAUGUUGAUAAAAU